CAAAUAUAGCACUGACAUAUGCCAAUCUAUUCAUGGCAGCUUUUGAGGAUACUUUUGUAUACCGAGACCAGGAUUUUAUGCGUCAUGUGAGGUUGUGGCUCAGGUAUAUAGACAAUAUUUUCUUUUGUUGGACAGGUAAUGUGGAUGAUCUAAUGGUUUUUAAAGAGAGACUUGAUGGGUGUUUGUACACCAUCUCCUUUACGUUGGAAUAUGAUCUCCAUGAGAUGCAUUUCUUGGAUGUUAAUCUACAGGUAAGAGGAGGUCGUCUAUCAUUUGAUCUGUACCAAAAGCCCACAGAUCGGGUUUCGUACCUGCAUGUGGAUUCCUUUCAUCCAGUAUCAUUUAUUAAGAAUUUGCCAUAUGGUCAGUUUGUCAGGGCACGCAGAAUAGUGUCUGAUGAAGCUAAAUAUGACACUAGGGCACUGUCUCUACUUCAAAGCAUUUUCUUUUAGAGGAUAUGAGACGGAUGUGGUUUCUGGAUGUAGGGAUAAGGCGAAACUGCUUUAUAGGAAUACCCUCUUGCAGAAAAGAGCUAGGGAGGGCAAGAAAGGCAUCCCAUGCGUGAUGACGUACUCGACUUACUUUGGUGAGGUUAAACACAUCAUUAACAAGCACUGGAAAAUUUUACAAUCUGAUCCUAAACUUCUCCCUUGUUUUAAUGAGAGACCUUUGUUUUUAUUUAAGCGACACAAGAGCCUAAGGGACCAUCUAAUGAAGAAUGUCAAUCUACAGGGGAAGAAAGAUACAGCUGAUACCUGGCUUUCUGCGAUACCGGGUAUGUACCGCUGUGGGCAUUGUAUUUACUGCAAUGGGGUGAUCACGGGAGAUAAUUUUACGCAUCCGAGGACGGGUAGGAGAUACCCGAUUCGGGAAUUUUGUAAUUGCCAGUCUCAGUUUGUGGUGUACACGCUGAAAUGCCCGUGUGGAUUAGCGUAUGUGGGUGAAACCACGCGUACGCUCACUACAAGGAUCGGGGAACACAAGAGCGGCAUUCGGACGAAUAAGAUGCAAUAUCCGGUGGCCCGGCACUUCGCUGAGAAAAGACAUACAGUUUCCCAACUGCGGUACAUGAUUUUGGAGGUGAUUAAAUCCAGUAGGGGUGGCAUUUCGCAAGUGGUUAGGCUUAACCCCUUAAGGGCCAAACUUCUGGAAUAAAAGGGAAUCAUGACAUGUCACACAUGUCAUGUGUCCUUAAGGGGUUAAACAAUGUGAGGUAUACUGGAUUUACGAGCUGCAGACUUUGUAAUCCUAAGGGUCUGAAUGAGGAUAAGGAUCUAUCACCAUUUCUAUAAUCCUGACAAUAUUUUACUCUGUCUGUAUCUUUAUAUUUUGUUUUUAUUUCCUUUUAUAGACUGGAGCUACAGUGGCCAUUUG